rnacentral:rRNA from 1 species
CCUACGGGAGGCUGCAGUGGGGAAUAUUGGACAAUGGGGGGAACCCUGAUCCAGCCAUGCCGCGUGUGUGAAGAAGGCCCUCGGGUUGUAAAGCACUUUCAGUGAGGAAGAACGCCUGGUGGUUAAUACCCAUCAGGAAAGACAUCACUCACAGAAGAAGCACCGGCUAACUCCGUGCCAGCAGCCGCGGUAAUACGGAGGGUGCGAGCGUUAAUCGGAAUUACUGGGCGUAAAGCGCGCGUAGGUGGCUUGAUAAGCCGGUUGUGAAAGCCCCGGGCUCAACCUGGGAACGGCAUCCGGAACUGUCAAGCUAGAGUGCAGGAGAGGAAGGUAGAAUUCCCGGUGUAGCGGUGAAAUGCGUAGAGAUCGGGAGGAAUACCAGUGGCGAAGGCGGCCUUCUGGACUGACACUGACACUGAGGUGCGAAAGCGUAGGUAGCAAACAGGAUUAGAUACCCUAGUAGUC